AGCAGCCGCGGUAAUUCCAGCUCCAAUAGCGUAUAUUAAAGUUGUUGCAGUUAAAAAGCUCGUAGUUGAAUUUCGGGAUCAAUGUUUCGGUCAUGCCGUUGGUAUGUACUGAUAUUAUUGAUUUCUCACCUUCUAAAGAACCGUAAUGCCAUUAAUUUGGUGUCACGGGGAAUUAGGACUGUUACCUUGAAAAAUUAGAGUGUUUAAAGCAGGCUCACGCUUGAAUACAUUAGCAUGGAAUAAUGAAAUAGGACAUCCGAUUCUAUUUUGUUGGUUUCUAGGAUCGAUGUAAUGAUUAAUAGGGAUAGUUGGGGGCAUUAGUAUUCAAUUGUCAGAGGUGAAAUUCUUGGAUUUAUUGAAGACUAACUACUGCGAAAGCAUUUGCCAAGGAUGUUUUCAUUAAUCAAGAACGAAAGUUAGGGGAUCGAAGACGAUCAGAUACCGUCGUAGUCUUAACCAUAAACUAUGCCGACUAGGGAUCGGAUGAUGUAAUUUUUAAUGACUCAUUCGG
rnacentral:rRNA from 1 species